GACGAACGCUGGCGGCGUGCUUAACACAUGCAAGUCGAACGGUGAAGCGCCUUCCUUUUUGGUGGGUGUGGAUGAGUGGCGAACGGGUGAGUAACACGUGAGUAACCUGCCUCCUUCUUCUGGAUAACCGCAUGAAAGUGUGGCUAAUACGGGAUAUUCUGGGUCUGUCGCAUGGUGGGUCUGGGAAAGAUAUUGUUUCGGUGGGGGAUGGGCUCGCGGCCUAUCAGCUUGUUGGUGGGGUGAUGGCCUACCAAGGCGGUGACGGGUAGCCGGCCUGAGAGGGUGGACGGUCACACUGGGACUGAGACACGGCCCAGACUCCUACGGGAGGCAGCAGUGGGGAAUAUUGCACAAUGGGCGCAAGCCUGAUGCAGCGACGCCGCGUGAGGGAUGGAGGCCUUCGGGUUGUGAACCUCUUUCGCCAGUGAAGCAGGCCUGCCUCGUUUGUGGGUGGGUUGACGGUAGCUGGAUAAGAAGCGCCGGCUAACUACGUG
rnacentral:rRNA from 1 species